UAAAGUCAUGAGGGAUGUCAGAUGCAAUCUUCUUUCCCCAACAUUUAAAAUUAACGUAUUUCCAAACUGAUAAGCGUAUUGUUAAUUUUUUAAAUUAAAUAAUUUUUUAUAAUCUAUAUUUUAUAAUAUAUCUCUCAACACUAGUCAGUUAACGCAUCAACUUCUGUAAUUCUGCAAAUUACUUCAAUUCCCAAGAUGGUUGCCUCCGUCUUUGUCAACAACGUCAAUAAAGCGAUCAGCGGGAAUUUCUGUCUGUUCAUUAGGCAUCACUCAUUUCUCUAUAUUUGUGUUCUGUGCCCGAAUAGAAAGGUAACACUUAUGGAAGGCGGUGGUUCCAUCGUUUUAGUUUUGCGGUCAGUCACUAGAUGGCGACUUCGAUGAAUCAAGUAUUUUUGCUUGUUUAAUGUUUACGUUAGACAGCGCCCUGAUGUCGGUCGAUAUGAGUGUUCGGGUUUUUCCCGCAUAUCCAACCAUACUUUUUUCCCAGACUCUUUCUAGCUAUAUAUUUGUGUUGUGUGCUUUCUAGUCUGUAUUGAGUAUUCUGAGUUUGUUGAUUUAUGUAUUGUGUAUUGAUUAAAGUUACCUAAAAAUGGAUAAUUUAAAACCUUUAAAGCAACAAUAUUGUCUACUUAUGUGCGACACAAAUUUGGUAGCCGAAUUUAGUUUCCAAAAGAAGAAAAGGAAAAAAUUAAACAUUGGUUAAAGAAAGGAUUAUUACUUCCCUUCUUCCCUACAUAACUUCAGUCUUGAGGAUAUUUAUAAAACCUACAGAGUGUGCUUAACAUUUUCCUGAGAAUUUUAUUGUUUGUGACAUAAAAACCAGGAGAGCCGGAGAGGUGUUACAUGGAAAUCAUGGACUGCAAUAUCUAUGUUGUUUUUACCAAAACUGAAACCUGAGUCACAACCCGAGACCUUAACACCUAAGAUGAGACAUGAAUUAUCAGAUGAACAUCAUCAACCACCCACAAAAAAGCAAAAACCAGAUAACACUGCUUCUACAUCCUAGAAUUGCCUACCCAACAAGAAAAGCUUUAAAAGUCCAAAUAAUAUUAUAACACUACCAGGCAAUUUAUUUGAUAACACAAUGAAAACUCCCAUGAAGAAAUACUUCUUGUGCCUGAUACCAUUGCUUCAAGUGAUUGCAAGAAACGAAUCAUAGAAUCGGCUAAAAGACUAGGGAGGGUCAGUAGAAGGCUGACAAAUUUUAUAUAUAGACUUGCCGCAGCUGAAAAACUUGCAGCUUCAUCAAAAUUCCAAAAUCUCAUUGACCAUGUCAACUUAUUAACAUACAAUUAUUUUAAGUCAGAUUAAUAUGCAAAAUAAAAGCCCAAAAACAAGGAGAUUUACUUUAAAUGACAAAUUAUUGGCUGUUUUCUUGCUCAAAGCUAGCGGUAGGGGUUUUUAAUUAUUGGCAAUUGUGCUAAACGCACCCUUAUUAAUCUACUAAGCAGAAUAUCAUUAAAAGUUGGCCUAAAUAAAGACAUUUUUAUUAGUUUAAAGAAAAUGGUUUUAAGAAUGAAGUAAAUUGAUAGGCAGGCAAUACUAAUAUUAGAUGAAAUGUCUGUUGAAAGUUCCCUUCACUAUAAUAAUAAAGAUGAUGAAAUUACUGGCUUUCAGGAUUUUGGAUCUGGCAACAGAAGACCGAAGAUUGCUAAUCACGCAAAGGUAUUCAUGCUUAAAGGAGCAUUUCAACAAUGGAAGCAACCUAUUUGUUAAACUUUUACUGGAGGUCCUAUGGAUCCUGGAAAGCAAAAAUUUAAUUAAAAAUAUAAUUAAAGAAUGUCAGGGAAUUGGCCUCAAAAGGCAAUAAAAGACCUUAUUACUGAAACAACACAGAACACAGGUUUCAAGGAUUUUUAAUAAAUGAUAAGGAAAUUGUCCCACUUUUUGAUAAGCCUCAUUUAUUUAAAGGUUUAAAAAAUAAUCUUUGCAAAAUGGUGACAUAUAGAGCAAUUCUAUUAUCUGGAUUUAGAAGAUAUUGUUAGAAUGUGUCCAAAAUUAAUUGACCACCAUGUUGUAAAACAUAAAAUCAAUAAAAUGAAGGUUAAAUGUUGCACCCAAAUAUUUAGCAAUCAAGUUGGAGCCUUAAUGAAAAGAAUUGUUG